AUGGGCGUGCGCUCAAAGGAUACAAACAAGGAUUCGCAAACAAAAAGGGGAAUUCAUAGUCACUUUUUCCUGUCACGUAAAAAAAAGUCUUUACGCGGGAGCAAUAGAGGUUGGGAUACAUCUAUCUCUUCUGAGCAACCUCUUUUGGAUUCUUAA
rnacentral:rRNA from 1 species